rnacentral:misc_RNA from 1 species
GCCAGUUGUGGGUCAUCCAAGUCAUUCAUAUAUAUAUUUACACCCCCUGCCAUGGCUUCCUCAUGGGAAUCUCCAUGAACAAAAUCUCCCUCUAUCAAGUCCUUAUCCAGUACAAUAAAAGUUCGCUUGAGGGGGUCCUGGGUCCAGGACUGCUGCAUCUGGUAUUCCUCUUCGAGAGAGAGGGGCUCCGACCCAGUGGCUUGGAGCAGAGCCGGGUCUUGCAUGGUACUUGGGGACGUGAGCCGCCAUGUAUGGUACAAGAAUUACCUUCUCUCCUUCCAAGCUCACUGCCAUUUUUCCAAGCUUCGCUAUUCAAGAGAUACAACUCGCCUUCUCCCCCGAAUUCUUCAGUUGAAAAACUAGAGUUGGUUUGUUUUGU